UACAUGGGGUGCAAACGUUGCUCGGAAUUAUUGGGCGUAAAGCGCGCGUAGGCGGUUACUCAAGUCGGAUGUGAAAGCCCUCGGCUUAACUGAGGAAGUGCACCCGAAACUGAGUAGCUAGAGUACUAAAGAGGGUCGCGGAAUUCCCGGUGUAGAGGUGAAAUUCGUAGAUAUCGGGAGGAACACCGGUGGCGAAGGCGGCGACCUGGGUAGAUACUGACGCUGAGGCGCGAAAGCGUGGGGAGCAAACCGG
rnacentral:rRNA from 1 species